GGUUGGCCCCCUCAAUGACGAUACGUUGUGAACCCGGUCAGGUCCGGAAGGAAGCAGCCGCAGCAGCAGAUUCGGGUGUUGGGGUACGGCUGGCCCGA
rnacentral:SRP_RNA from 1 species